GCUCGUCUGACUUAUUCUGGAGAAGAUAUUCAGGAUGUUAUUAGAGCUUGGUGCAAGGCUGUGUAAGAAGACGAUUAGAGCUGCGCAGUCUUCUGUGGAGUUAUAUUUAGAAAUUCUCCAGGAGUAUAUUACUGACUGCAAUCAAUAAGCAGGAUGACCAAUAAGCCAGCAACAUUUAAAGAGGACACUGCAUCAACAGACUCUGCAGUCAGCCAGGGAUUACUUGUUCAGUUGUGUACCUCAGUGUGCAAACAAAAAUCUUUGCUAAAAAACAUGCUUGACAUGAAGUUCAGUCAGCAGAGUACGUCAAAUAGCACUGCUCACCCAGAAAAUGAAUCAAUGCAAAACAUCAUUUGAAAAAACACGUCUAAUGCAAGUGCAACACAGAGAGGGAAACACCGGAUACCCACUAGCUCACUGAACGCAGCGUGAUUUUGAUGCUCCAUUCAGCAGCUGUGCUGGGAAAGGGAGAAGCCAUCCAGCAGAUGAGAAGCAAGGGGACAAGGGGCAGUCCACAUGCAUGUCCUACUCCUGCGUGACAGCCCUCUUGAAUUUAGAGGCAGCAGAUUCCCAUCAAUGAUGAUAAUCUGUGACUGCAUUGAAGAACCACUAGGGUCAUUGCAGAGGCAGGCUGGCCUUGAGGGAUGGAGGGAAACCUUAUCUUAAAUUUUUGACCUGAGAGUGAGCAAAAGCUUUCCAUCCCCUUGGGGAGCUGCCAGGCCCUUCCAUGCCACCUCCAGCUUCCCAGAGCACAUCGUGUCUGCCGGUCAAGACUAUCCUCGUGCCACAUUCCCCCUCCUCAAGAUCUGCAGACAAGAAGCUCUUCAUAUGACAGCUGUGGUGGACCUCCCUGGGGCUGUGCCAGGCUGGCUCGACCAGCGCCAGUGUGGCUGAGAUGGAGAAGAGGCAGACUUCCCAAUGAGGGCAAGAAAGAAAUCCUGCCUGGCGAGGAACUUCAGCGACGAGGGCUUUCAACAGGAGAUGCUCUGUGGUGAUCAUCCUGCUCAACACUCGCAGAGACCAGGCACCGACACCAGAACCGCGCCGGGGCUGUCCUGCAAGCGCUGGUGGCAUCACCUCACAGCUGGGGCUGCAGCCUCCCUCCAGGAUCGUGCCACACCAGCAGUUACAGGUUCAGCGCUGCAGCUGCCCUGCAGAAGUUGGUGGGACUCGAGAGCGGUCACUGAAGUUUUGUGGAAAUGUUCGGUGGAGAUUUUUGUGGCAGGUGUGAAAGCGAGCUGCCUUGCAGCUAAGCUGGUGCAGCCUAGAGAAAACAACUGGGAGGUGUCAUCUCUGGGAGCAGAGAGAGCAGCAAAUGGGCUGUGUGAAGGACAGAGAAAAAAGAAAGAAAGACCUCUUGCAAAUGAGGUGCCAACAGAAAAUGUACUUUGGCAGCUGGAAAGGUGUAAUGAAAGCCUAGGCAAAAUAUAG
rnacentral:lncRNA from 1 species